rnacentral:rRNA from 1 species
AGUGAACGCUGGCGGCGUGCCUAAUACAUGCAAGUCGAACGAUGAAGUCCUAGCUUGCUCGGAUGGAUUAGUGGCGCACGGGUGAGUAAUAUAUAGUUAAUCUGCCCUACACAGAGGAACAACAGUUGGAAACGACUGCUAAUACCUCAUACUCCUAUUUGACAUAAGUUAAAUAGGGAAAGUCUUUUCGGUGUAGGAUGAGACUAUAUCGUAUCAGCUAGUUGGUAAGGUAAUGGCUUACCAAGGCUAUGACGCGUAACUGGUCUGAGAGGAUGAUCAGUCACAUUGGAACUGAGACACGGUCCAAACUCCUACGGGAGGCGGCAGUAAGGAAUAUUGCGCAAUGGGGGAAACCCUGACGCAGCAACGCCGCGUGGAGGAUGACACUUUUCGGAGCGUAAACUCCUUUUAUCAGGAAAGAAUAAUGACGGUACCUGAUGAAUAAGCACCGGCUAACUCCGUG